rnacentral:rRNA from 1 species
GGCCAACUACCCUACAGACGAGAACAACCUCGGGAAACUGAGGCUAACACUCGAUACGCGUUGACUGUUUGAAGACGUCGACGCUCAAACGCUCCGGCGCUGUAGGAUGUGGCUGCGGCCGAUUAGGUAGACGGUGGGGUAACGGCCCACCGUGCCGAUAAUCGGUACGGGUUGUGAGAGCAAGAACCCGGAGACGGAAUCUGAGACAAGAUUCCGGGCCCUACGGGGCGCAGCAGGCGCGAAACCUUUACACUGCACGCCAGUGCGAUAAGGGGACCCCGAGUGAAAGGGCAUAUCGCCCUUUCUUUUCUGAACCGUAGGGAGGUUCAGGAACAAGAGCUGGGCAAGACCGGUGCCAGCCGCCGCGGUAAUACCGGCAGCUCAAGUGAUGACCGAUUUUAUUGGGCCUAAAGCGUCCGUAGCUGGCCGCGCAAGUUCGUCGGGAAAUCCACCUGCUUAACGGGUGGGCGUCCGGCGAAAACUGCACGGCUUGGGACAGGAAGGCUCGAGGGGUACGUUCGGGGUAGGAGUGAAAUCCUGUAAUCCUGAACGGACCACCGAUGGCGAAAGCACCUCGAGAGGACUGAUCCGACAGUGAGGGACGAAAGCUGGGGUCUCGAACCGGAUUAGAUACCCGGGUAGUCCCAGCCGUAAACGAUGUUCGCUAGGUGUGACACUCACUACGAGUGAGUGUUGUGCCGCANGGAAGCCGCUAAGCGAACCGCCUGGGAAGUACGUCCGCAAGGAUGAAACUUAA